CAGCCAUGAUUGCCAGCCAGCCACCACCAUGUAAAUGUAAUAAAUGUGUGGCCUAUCUAGUGUGUUGCUGAUAGAAAUAUAGAUGUGUGGCCUAUCUAGUGUGCUGCUGAUAAUCUAUUUUUACCUCACUUGGCAGGCACCAUAAUCUGUUUUUCCUAACUGUACUGUAGGAAUAAAUGUGUGGCCUAUCUAGUGUGCUGCUGAUAGAAAUAUAGAUGGAAGAUUUGUUGACCAGUUAAAUUGAGCUUACUGUCAAUUCUGCUUAUAAGCUAUGUUUGAUGCUGCCUACAGGUUCUUAUUCUUCUUCUUUUUUUGCAUAGGUGAAGUAUGAAGUGUGAAGCUAUGAAGCCUAUCAGCAAGAGUAGCAUAUUAUGUAUUGUAAUAUUAGGCAAAGUGUAAUAUUAGUCAGAGUAGCAAAUUAUGUAUUGUAAUAUUUAGUGUUGUUUUGGAUGAAUUUCAUUUGCUCUAUAAUCUGUUUGAAAUAUUGACUGUGUAUAUAAUUUCAAUACCUAUGAAAUGGAAACCUGACCAGGGGGACCCACUUAUGAAAAUUGGUUGACAAAUUUUGAAAUUUCUGAUGUGUGGGUCCAAUUGUGAUAUCAGCAUGACAAGUGGGACCAAUAUGACCAGUGGGACCAGCGUAAAAAUAAUGUGGCUAAAAAUAGAAAAUUAAUAGUAAUGGCCCAGAAAUUAAAAAGGCCGAAUAGUUGGGCCUAUAGCUGACCAAAAUUAAUAAGAAAAAAAUAUAUAAAAAGGUUGAAUUGUUGGGCUUGACCCAUGUAAAACAUCAAACUGGACCGGGCUGAAUCUUAUCAACGACCUUUUCAAUUGGUCGCACUUUUGCACGUCAGAUUGACACGUCGGAUCCUAUGUGGCCUGGUUAGAGAGCUAGCGACCAAAACAGAACGUCAUAGAAUCAACGACCUUUUUUUUGGUCAUGGAAUUCCACGACCUUCUCACAGAGAAGGUCGUUAAUUUUAGUUUACGACUGCCAGCUUUUGACCUUCUAUUAUUUGUCACAAAAAGGUCACAAAUAAAAACAAUUACCUUUCAGUGACCAAUAGUGAUGGUCGCAAGUUGAUAUAUCUCUUGUAGUGUCCGCUGACAGCUUUUACAAUAUGACAUCACGUUUGUCCGGUCAUAAUCUCAAACCGUUUUUCGUCGGCCGCUCCACGUUUCGAGAUGCGGUUGCCAUUGGCACAUCUUGUUGAAGCAGAUAUCGUGCCCCCUUAUUACUGGAUUCUCAUCAAUAUGGGCGUGGGUGACCCAACUGUGCCGUUUUGCACGGCACUUGGGAAUAGGCGAGUUCAAGGCGAGUGGGGAGAUUCUUGAUAUUCACAGCCUUUAUAAGGGGAUAGGGAUUACCUACCUUCAUCCCCACCUCAGCUCCUCAGUCCUUCCGUCCUUGAGCUCCAGUGCCCAAGCUUCUAGAUUUUCCCUCAAUCGAGAAAGCACUCCAAAAAUGUCCGGAUCCGAAGCUGGGGGUAAGUGGAUGGCCUCCUCCGUUAAGAAAAAGGAUAUCAAGGCGCUCCGGGAGGCUGGAUAUCUGGCCAAGGAGAUCGCUCACUGACUCCCGGAUAAGGGACAGAUCGUCCCUACUCCAGAGCCCCACGAGAGAGUUGUUUUUCUCACACAUUUCUUCCGUCGGCUGGGUUUCCCUAUCCACCCUUCAUCCGUGGACUGAUGUUUUACUACGGGCUAGACUUCCAUGACCUAGCCCCCAACUUCAUCCUCAACAUCACGGCAUUCAUUGUCGUGUGCGAGGCCUUCCUCUGCAUCUCGCCUUAUUUUAGCCUAUGGUUGAAGACCUUCAACGUGAAGCCGAAGGUGGUGAGCAGCAAACAAGCAGAAUGCGGAGCCGCCAUGGUGGGAAAGAUGCCCAACGUUACCUGGCCCGAAGGCUCAUUCGUGGAGAUGGUGAAAGGGUGGCAAUCGGGUGGUUCUAUAUCACUGAGCCGCGCGACGCCAACUGGGUGGCGGCCCUCGAAUUCAGAUCUGGAUUCCCGAUGCGGCUCACCUCCUGGCCAGAGAGGGGCCUAACCUGGGGUCCUUCAGAAGAGCUGACUGGGCCCCAUACGUGUGUCCAGAACAUGAUGGAUAGGAAGAUCAAGCUCGUCAAUGUGGUCUAGGUCAUGCUCAUUCGCCGGGUCCUUCCGUGGGAGUAUGAUCCGGCCAAGUACCAGACGCUACAAGAGCUCUUCGGCACAACACACGAAGAAAUCUGGAAAGUGCUCUUCAAGGCCGGCGAGACGCCACAGCCCAUAACUGAGGAUCGCGGUCUUAGCUUAAAACGCCAGGCUAACCCGGUAAGCUCUUCUAAUGUUUUUAGGCGUACCUUUUACUAGCAUAUUUUGAGAAAAAUCCCAAGCCUUCCUACCCGUGUUUUCAGGCCUGGAUCAAGAUAGCUGAGGGGAUUAACAGUCCGGCUCCGCUGCCCGAGGACCAAGAAUUCCCAUUGUUGAAGAAAAUGCUUUUUCCAGCACCUUAUGAGGUGCCAGGGAAGAUGGCCAAGAAAGCGGCCAAAGGGGCCAAGAAGGGCCCUCGCCGAAAAGGCGCUCCGGACAUGAUGUCCGAAGACGAAACUUCCUCUUCGUCUGCUGACGACGAUGACGAAGAGGAAGAAGAAAGCGAGUCCCCACCUGAAGUGGGAAGGAAGAAGAGAGCGGCCUCCACAAAUCCGGAGGCGAAAGCGCCUAAAAGGGUUAGAGGCUCCCACACAGAUAACUCUGUGUGGGAUGUUGACAGCAGUCCGGAGCGACCUCGCCGGACCAAGCCUCAUGUCGCCUCGUAAGUACCAGGAUAUACCUUAAACCAUGUUAUUGCAGUCCAGCACAUGAUGGCUCCCCGCGAUCCUCGUCAGAGGGAUCGCUAGACUCAAAGGAGAUGGCUAGCAUGUCUCUGCCACCUGCUCAUUCCGACUCUCCCAAGGGUGACGACGAGGGGGUGUUGCAAAAGACCUUUCGCGACCAGGGGCUUCCGGUGAUCGUCGGGGUGAUGCCCCAGGACAAUUCCUCAACUGCCGGAUGCAUGGGGGAAAAAGCCCCUGCGAGGGCUGGUGACGAGGGCCGGGUUCCCUUCGGGCCUGAGCCAGAUACCAUUCCGGAGACCUAUGCGGCUCCGGAGUCCAGCGAACGGCAUGCUCCGAAAGGAGGGAAUGUGCCUGUUCCACCGGUGACCUCUAUCCAACUAGAGGCACCGGAUAACCUGCUGGAGGCGCUACGAGGCGCCUCUAUUGUGGAUGCAAACCGCGCCCUUAUGGGCACGGUAAUAGAGAAUGUACAGUUCGUGAAAAGCGGACUGACCGAAGCCUGCACUAGCCUUCUAUCAGGCUUUCAGGUAAGUAAUGCGUUUGUAGGGAGAAUAUCAUAGUAUAGACUGUAGCCCCUGAUGCUCUGUUUGGUGUUCGGAAAGAAAAGGCCAAACAGAGGAUUGAAAAUAAAUAUCGCAGGAGUCAAACAUAAGUUGUCUUGGUGAAUAAACAGGUGUCGCUGCAGGCUGCCACCGCUCAUGCUGCAGAGGUCUCCAGACUGAAUCGGAAAUUGGAGCGGGCCGAGGAAGAGCUCAGCCUCGUAAAGAAGCAGCUAGAGGAUAGCCAAGGUAUGUGUUGUCCUGCUAGUACCUUUUAAGAAAAAAAUAAAAAGUCCGUCUAGACUGAGUUGUCAUGAACUUUAUUAGGGGCCACGACCGAGGUGGGAGCCCUCAAGAAGGCGUUGGCCGAGGCUGAGGACAAAGCGGCCAAGGAACAUGCCGCGUGCGAGAAGCACGAGGCCCAGGUCGGUGAGGCGCAACAACAGCUCCAGGACGCGAUCAAGAGAUUUGUGUCCGUGGAACGUGAUUGUAAGGCGCAAGAGUCUGAACUGGCGAAGGCCCGCCGGAGCACACAUGAUGCACGAGCCAAAGCCCAGAAUGCCCUCCAGGAAAUUCAGGCACCCAAGGAGAUUGCGGUGGGUAAUUCUUUCACCGUGCAAAGCAAGUAUGUUAAAGAAACGUUCCUUAUACUUAUCCGAAUUCGGGUUUUCCAAGGGCGUUUACGGAUCUGCCACGUAGUAUAUAGGAUGAUGCCGAGCAUUACAGAGCCGAAGAAGGGAUGUCUACAGAGAAGCUAUUCUGGUCCCAGUAUCUUGGACCGGAACAUCCGUUGCCCUUCAUCGACCAGCUGAAGCAGUUGGUCGAGCUGCACAAGUCGGCGGAGCUAGCCAUCAAGGACUUGAUAGUCCGGCUAUGGCCUGCCGAUCCUGUACCUAGCAGCUAUUUCAGACUUGUUAAGCGGCUUGUAAAUGCCUGUCCGCGGCUCAAAACCGUGAAGCGGUCGGUCUGCAUUAAAGGUGCGCGUAUGGCCUUUGCCCGCGUCAAGACUCAUUGGGCAAAGCUGGAUGCCAAGAAGCUGAUGACCGAGGGGCCGCCAGAGGGCAAGGAGCAUCGUCGACCCGAGCUCUAUUUUUAUGGCGUCCUAGAGGGGUCCCGCCUUGUGGCGGAACAAUGUUCGAAGGAUAUCAUUUUCCCAUGAGAACAUUUUUAUUAUCCCGUCCUCUAAUAUGGAACAAUGAUGUUAUGUAUUAUAAUGCUUGUGAUUUACAUUUUACCUCCUGUGCGGCCGUUUAUGAAAUCUGAGGGUUGACCAGCUGUCAGCUUCUGCCCAUGUAAAUAGUAUGGGGGUGUUCAGGAUAAAUCUAAACACUCCUUACUCCACAUUCUAGUCCUUAAAGGAGGUGUUUAGCGCAACGAACAAGGCAAUCAGACUAUGCGGCCUUUACCGCCCUCACUUAGCCAUAGGAGUUUGACAAUUAAAAAAGUUGGCGAAGCCCCUGGUAUUCGGAAGGCUGAACUAGGGGCGUUAUACACGCCUAAUCGGAGGGACCGAUUCUUCACACGAAGCGGAAAAAAAUCUCUAACGAUUUGGAACCUCUCGAACAGCUAACCGGCUCUCGCCGCAUCAUGACAGUCAGUCUUCGGCUUUCUGUACUGAGGUGCUCGUCCGGAAGAACCGAGACACAAUCACAGUAGUUCUCCCUUUACUACCCUAGCCGAUAUAGCGGAACGUAAGGUAGUAAGCACAGGAGCCGGGCAACCCAACUAUUGACCAAAGACAUGAUUCGGAGCCCAUGCAUAUAAUGCUAUAAGUUUGGGGUGCCGAACUAUACUGAAAAAGUGUUCGGACUUUUAUUGCCAUACAAUGGGGUGUAAUGAAGCCCCUGGCGCAGUAAUAUGUACCAUAGUGUACGCGUGUAAUAUAUAAUAUACACAAAGGCGAGGAAACAGGAAAAAUUAAGUAAUAAGCUGACGUCACCAUUUAUUCACCAUUGUGAUGUAAUUAGUACGUCGAGGCGUACUUUGUGCGAGUAAUGCGAUAAGCAAGUAAAGCUAUUUAACAUGUCGCAACCAAGGGCGAGCUACGUGCCGGUAUGUAAAAAAAGUAUGGCAAUCGUUUAAUAGACACCACUUGGGGAUUCCCUUGUAUGCCAGAGCUUCUUGUCUCCUUCGUGUGUUCUGUAAGCGGGUCGUCCAUAUAGACCUCGAAAAGAGAAAAGACCCAUGAUAAUAAAAAGAUAAAAUAAAGGCAUGCGAAUCCUAGGGUCGGUCAAGCCGCACUAUGGAUCGCGAGUGAGUUAUGCCUCUGUAAGUACCCAUGAGGUUUUGAGUGCGUAAUUAUGUACGCGCGGCACGGAUGCCCCUUUCCUCAUCGGGGCUCGGACAGAGGCCGAAUUUACUAAUUCAGCUCUUGAUGAACCGAGCUUCCCUUUUGCAGUGUAGUCCAGACCUUCUUGACGAUGUCCAGGGUUUCGGCGGCCGGAUUAUGGUGCCGCUUGAGAAGGCCGCUCUAUACUUCUGCUGCUAGGGCUGCGUUAUGCUCCUCUGUGCGGAGGGAACGUUCUGUGUUUCCAUUUACUGUAAUGACGCCGCGUGGACCGGGCAUCUUGAGCUUGAGAUAAGCAUAAUGCGGCACCGCGUUGAAUUUAGUGAACGUGGUUCGUCCGAGCAUUGCGUGGUAGCCGCUGCGGAAGGGGGCGAUAUCGAAGAUUAGCUCUUCGCUUUGGAAGUUAUCCGGGGAACCGAAGACCACCUCCAGCGUGAUCGAGCCCGUACAACGGGCUUCUAUGCCUGGUACAACUCCUUUAAAGGUAGUUGUCGUGGGCUUGAUUCGUGAGGGAUUAAUGCAUAUACUGUAUCCUGAUAGAGCUGGUUGAGGCUGCUAACACCAUCCAUUAGGACUCGUGUCAUGUGAAAUCCAUCGAUGAUUGGGUCGAGUACCAAUGCGGCCGAACCGCCAUGACGGAUGCUAGUUGGAUGAUCACUACGAUCGAAGGUGAUCGAGAAUGACGACCGUGGGUUGAACUUUGGGGCGACUGGCUCUACCGUGUAAACGUCCCUAAGUGCGUGCUUGCGCUCCCUUUUGGGGAUGUGCGUAGCAUAUAUCAUGUUCACCGUUUUGACUUGUGGCCGGAAUUUCUUCUGCCCCCCAGUGUUCGGCUGCCGGGGCUCCUCGUCUUCGUCCUUGCUCUGUGAUUCCCCUUCCUUGUUUCCGAUAUUUACCUUGCUGGCUUGCUUAAAGACCUAGCAAUCUCUGUUAGUAUGGUUGGCCGGUUUGUUUGGGGUGCCAUGUAUCUAGCAAGGACGAUUGAGUAUGCAGUCCAAGCUGGAUGGUCCUCCACCGUUCCUUUUAUAGGGCUUCUUUCGCUGGUCGGAAUGGGAGCCGCUGAAACCGGUGUGAACUGUGGUGUCAUCGGUGUUAUUGCCAUUGCUUCAGCGUUUGUGUCUGUUGCACCGGAGCUUGCUGGUGCUAUUUUUGGCCUUGGAGGGGCCUGCUUUGUUGGUUGUAUUUGUACUGCGAGCCAGCCAACUAUCUUCUCCUGCACAAAAGCGGGUCAUAAGUGUUGUGACGGCUGCCAUAGACCUUGGCUUUUCCUGGUCGAGGUGGCGGGCUAGCCAUUCGUCACGGAUGCUGUGUUUAAAGGCCGCUAGGGCUUCGGCAUCCGGACAGUCAACGAUCUGGUUCUUUUUGGUUAGGAAGCUAGUCCAGAAUUUUCUGGCUGAUUCUCUAGGUUGUUGAACUAUGUGGCUUAGGUCAUCAGCAUCGGGUGACCGGACAUAUGUACCUUGAAAGUUGUCGAGGAAGGCUUCUUCCAAGACCUCCCAGCUGCCAAUGGAAUUUUCAGGCAGGUUUUUCAGCCAGUGGCGAGCUGGUCCUUUGAGCUUUAAUGAGAGGUAUUUGAUAGCGUGGAGGUCAUCUCCUCGGUCCAUGUGGAUGUGGAGAAUAAAAUCUUCGACACACACUGCGGGAUCGGUUAUUACGUCGUAUGAUUCAGUAUUGAUGGGUUUGAACCCCUCGGGGAAUUCGUGAUCCAGCACCUCAUCUGUGAAGCAGAGAGGGUGUGCGGCGCCUCUAUAUUGGGCCGUGUCACAGCGCACCUCCAAUGAAGUUCUUCUAUGGUUAUUGGCCCGGAUGUGACUAGGUUUGUCAUGUCCGAAUAGGUAGCUAUCGUCCCGAGUCGGGAAGCGUCCUCGUGAUCCGUAGAUUGAUCUGGUAUGUCCUCCUCUGCUGGCUAGAUCCCGCCGAAGGUCGUGUGUAUGGUCCCGAGCUGUUCCAUCCCUAUUUUUGUGAAGCGGUGGGGCGGGCUGUUGUUCGGCCUGAGUUGCCGCUUUAUCCCGACCGUGGGGUGGUCGGUCCACCGUACUAUCCUGACCACAUGGUGGUCGGUCCGCAUUGCAUGAGGGCGGUAUGGGAUCCGGUGCUUCCUCAUCAAACUGAGGUCGCAGUCUGCGCUUCGGGUAACUCUUGACUGGACUCUCGAGGCCGUAUUCUUCGGCUGCCAGGACAUCAGUCCACCUAUAGAUGAGCAGGUCUUGAUCGGCCUAGAGCUGCUGCUGCUUCCUUUUUAGGCUUCUGGCAGUAGCUAUUAGCUGGCGCUUGAAGCAUUCCUGCUCUAGGGGUGUCUCAGGUAUGAUGAAAUCCUUGCUACCGAGGCUCUCCUCAUCUCCGGAGACUGGACGAUAACUAUCAUCAUCGGAGUUAUUGGGCGUGGCCUAUUUAUCAGGGUCAUCUUGCCGGUUGUCUUGUUCCUCCUGUUCGGACGUAGCUCCAACAGGGUCUUUAUUUUUUUCGGCGUCGCCCAGAGUAGCAUUUUCUCCGGUGCCAGUGUUGUCAUCCUUUGAGCGACGAGGCUUAGAGUGGCAUAUUGGGUGCCGACGCUUGGACUGUGUCUCAGAAGGUUUAUCCGUGACUGGAUCCCUUUUGUCAUCGUCGCUAGCUUCUGUAGGUGUGUUGAUCAUGUACACAUCGUAUGAAGAGGUGGCUGUCCAAGGUCCAGUAAAUGGCGGGUUUUGGCCUUGUUCCUGGUCGACAUCGUCGUUCAUACCGUCGAUGUUUUUGGAGCCGUAAUCGAGCACAUUGGUUAAGUCAUCGACAGUGGCUAUGAAGUGGGCGGCGGGUGGGAAACAAAAUUUCCCAUCAUCAGCCUCUAGCUCGAACCGAACAUAGUUCGGUUGUGAGUCCUUCUCCAAGGACAAGUUCUGUAAAGAGUUUAGCACAUCACUCAAGGGUGAGUGCAGGAAGAUGUCUGCGGUGCUAAAUUUGAAAAUCGAUAACCGAUCCAGCUCGGUGUCCGCAGGCGUGCCCGGUCCGGGACUCAUAGCCGGAGAUGAAUCCAGAGUUCUAUUGGCGAAAAUAUCGCGAGGUGUCAAGUAUGUGUGCGGCUCCAACGCUGAGGACUCUGUGGCAUUGGGUGGCAUGAUUUUCUCCGGUUGUAAGGCCAUUGCAGCAAUAGGGACCAUCCGCUGGAUGUGAUCUGAUGAAAGAUUUAAGUCAUGUUCAUCGGAGCGAGGGCGAGCGAUCGCUGCAGUCUCAAAUCCAUUGAAGAUCAAGUCUCCACGGAUAUCCGUGAUGUAGUUCAAGCUUCCAAAUCUGACCUGGUGGCCAGGGGCGUAGCUAUCGAUCUGCUCCAGAUGGCCGAGUGAGUUGGCCCGUAGUACGAAGUCACCGAACACGAAAAUCUGUCCGGGGAGGAAGGUUUCUCCUUGGACAUCGUCACUAUAGACGAUUGAAGGGGCCAUCGAACCUUUCGUCGACGACACAAUGGAACUCUCAAUGAAAGCACCAAUGUCAGUGUCAAAACCGGCGGAUCUCGGGUAGGGGUCCCGAACUAUGCGUCUAGGAUCGAUGGUAAUAGGAGACAGGGGACACAAUGUUUACCCAGGUUCGGGCCCUCUCUAUGGAGGUAAUACCCUAUGUCCUGCUUGAUUGAUAUUGAUGAAUAUGGGUGUUACAAGAGUUGAUCUACCAUGAGAACGUAAUAGCUAAACCCUAGAAGCCUA
rnacentral:lncRNA from 1 species